rnacentral:misc_RNA from 1 species
CUGGAAACAGUUUCUUCUCCAAUCUGCUUAUAAUCACAUUUGCCACAAGCUCCUUCUUUGCCUGAUAGUCCUUUGGAGGGAGUUCCUCCCAGUCUUCUAUGGAAGAAGUUGUAAAUAUGUGAAGAAUAUGGUGCCCCUUGGGAGCUAGUGAUGAAUCAAGAACGGUUGGAAUGCUUAAAAAUAUACUGCCANNNNNNNNUUGCCCAGUCAUCCUCAAGCACAAAAUGAUGGCAAUCUGUAUCUGGUGGCAGAACAUCAGC